UAUACCUACGGGGGGCAGCAGUAGGGAAUCUUCGGCAAUGGGGGCAACCCUGACCGAGCAACGCCGCGUGAGUGAAGAAGGUUUUCGGAUUGUAAAGCUCUGUUGUAAGUCAAGAACGGGUGUGAGGGUGGAAAGUUCACACUAUGACGGUAGCUUACCAGAAAGGGACGGCUAGCUACGUGCCAGCAGCCGCGGUAAUACGUAGGUCCCGAGCGUUGUCCGGAUUUAUUGGGCGUAAAGCGAGCGCAGGCGGUUUGAUAAGUCUGAAGUUAAGGGCUGUGGCUCAACCAUAGUU
rnacentral:rRNA from 1 species